GACGAACGCUGGCGGCGUGCCUAACACAUGCAAGUCGAGCGAGUGAAUCUCCGUUCGGGGGUGAAGCUAGCGGCGGACGGGUGAGUAACACGUGGGCAACCUGCCUCAUAGAGGGGAAUAGCCUUUACGAAAGGAAGAUUAAUACCGCAUAAGAUUGUAGCUUCGCAUGAAGUAGCAAUUAAAGGAGCAAUCCGCUAUGAGAUGGGCCCGCGGCGCAUUAGCUAGUUGGUGAGGUAACGGCUCACCAAGGCGACGAUGCGUAGCCGACCUGAGAGGGUGAUCGGCCACAUUGGGACUGAGACACGGCCCAGACUCCGUACGGGAGGCAGCAGGUGGGGAAUAUUGCACAAUGGGGGAAACCCUGAUGCAGCAACGCCGCGUGAGUGAUGACGGCCUUCGGGUUGUAAAGCUCUGUCUUCAGGGACGAUAAUGACGGUACCUGAGGAGGAAGCCACGGCUAACUACGUG
rnacentral:rRNA from 1 species